GCACAAGCGGUGGAUGAUGUGGUUUAAUUCGAUGCAACGCGAAAACCUUACCACCUUGACAUGGCAGGAAUCCUGAAGAGAUUUGGGAGUGCUCGAAAGAGAACCUGCACACAGGUGCUGCAUGGCUGUCGUCAGCUCGUGUCGUGAGAUGUUGGGUUAAGUCCCGCAACGAGCGCAACCCUUGCCAUUAGUUGCUACGAAAGGGCACUCUAAAUGGGACUGCCGGUGACAAACCGGAGGAAGGUGGGGAUGACGUCAAGUCCUCAUGGCCCUUAUAGGUGGGGCUACACACGUCAUACAAUGGCCGGUACAGAGGGUAGCCAACCCGCGAGGGGGAGCCAAUCCCACAAAGCCGGUCGUAGUCCGGAUCGCAGUCUGCAACUCGACUGCGUGAAGUCGGAAUCGCUAGUAAUCGCGGAUCAGCAUGUCGCGGUGAAUACGUUCCCGGGUCUU
rnacentral:rRNA from 1 species